rnacentral:lncRNA from 1 species
AUAUAUACACAAUAUAAUAAUCAUAAAUGCAAUAAAUAGAGCAACACAAGCAACCUAAACUAUCCUAGAGAGCGCUAGGAGAGACUCGCUUAGGGAAGAUGGACCAGCAUAUGCAAACAUUUAUGCAAAUAUAUACACAAUAUAAUAAUCAUAAAUGCAAUAAAUAGAGCAACACAAGCAACCUAAACUAUCCUAGAGAGCGCUAGGAGAGACUCGCUUAGGGAAGAUGGACCAGCAGGAGGUCAAC